UUUGGGGAUCGAUCAAGGGACACAAAGAGAAAGAGGGAGAGGAGGGUCCACUAGCGGGGUCCACCCAAAUACACAGAGAGAGUGAGAGAAAGAGAGUGGUGAGUCAGGGGGAGCAUGUUUUGUUAUUAGGAAUAUGAGUGGUACGGCGGUGGUAGGAGAAGGUGUUAAAUUGUUUGAUAUUACAUUUUAUUUGGUUGAAAUACAUAUGGCAUGAGAAGGUAUGGUAUAUGUAACUAGAAUUUUGAGAGUACCCAAGUAUCUUAUAUUUUUCUAGAAAGAGACUCCUUCACUGUUAUUAGAUGGCUUGCUUAUUGAUCAUCUUUCGAGUUUAAUAUUCAUCCGUUGGGACAAUAUUAUGUGAGAAUGGGAGUAUGUUUUUAGAUUUUUGAAGUGAAACUUGUUUAUAUGGAAGCUAGUAAAGUUGCAGAUUGGAUGGCGACAUAUGCUGUUGGUCAUGUAAAACUUAGAUGAUUGCGAGAGAUAUUUCUUUUGAUUAGUUAGAUAUUUUAUUUUGAGAUGCCUACGAAUGUAUUUACCCUAGAACGGUUUAAUGAUUCUAGUUUAUCAAAAGAAAGAGAGAGAUGGCCUGCAACUUGUAUCUAACUCCGGGAAAAAUAGAAAAAAA
rnacentral:lncRNA from 1 species